rnacentral:lncRNA from 1 species
CGGCUGUAAGCACGCUGCUGCAGCUAACGUUUUCUAGUGCGUAAUCGAGACAUCUCUAGUAUAUUCAAACUACUGCAAAUUAUAAAAAUGGCUUUCAUAAAGUAGUAACCACUUAACUUAAAAAGGGGGAGGGUUAUUUGUUUUUUAUCUGAGUAAGAUUUUUUUUUCGCGCGUACGUUUUUAUUCCUUUUUUUUUCGAUGCUGGUGAUCAAAUACAUUUUUUUUCAAUAUUUAACACUAUAAUGUAUGGGGAAACUCUUUGAUUCAGAAUAUUUCUUUUAUCAUCUGUAUGAUCAUUUUUUUUUUAUCAAAUUGGGGAUCGGAAUAUUUCCAUUCCCCCCCCAAACCCCCCCCCCCCCCCAACCCCCACCCCCCCACCCCUUUUGAAGUCAAAUGGUUGUUCCCUUACCGCUAGAAAAAUUGUCCCAAAAUUUUGAAUUCAGUUCAACGUAAUGAACAUUUAAAUGACACAUAG